rnacentral:rRNA from 1 species
AAACCAGCACCUCAAGUGGUCAGGAGGAUUAUUGGGCCUAAAGCAUCCGUAGCCUGUUCUGUAAGUUUUCGGUUAAAUCCAUUAGCUCAACUAAUGGGCCGCCGAAAAUACUGCAUAACUAGGGAGUGGGAGAGGUAGACGGUACUCGGUAGGAAGGGGUAAAAUCCUUUGAUCUAUUGAUGACCACCUGUGGCGAAGGCGGUCUACCAGAACACGUUCGACGGUGAGGGAUGAAAGCUGGGGGAGCAAACCGGAUUAGAAACCCCAGUAGUCC